rnacentral:rRNA from 1 species
CGCGGCCUAUCAGCUUGUUGGUGAGGUAACGGCUCACCAAGGCAACGACGGGUAGCUGGUCUGAGAGGACGAUCAGCCACACUGGGACUGAGACACGGCCCAGACUCCUACGGGAGGCAGCAGCAGGGAAUAUUGCACAAUGGGCGAAAGCCUGAUGCAGCGACGCCGCGUGGGGGAUGAAGGCCUUCGGGUUGUAAACCCCUUUCAGGAGGGACGAAGCGAAAGUGACGGUACCUCCAGAAGGAGCCCCGGCCAACUACGUGCCAGCAGCCGCGGUAAUACGUAGGGGGCGAGCGUUGUCCGGAUUUAUUGGGCGUAAAGAGCUCGUAGGCGGCUCAACAAGUCGGCCGUGAAAGCCCGAGGCUUAACCUCGGGACGCCGGUCGAAACUGUUGUGGCUAGGGUCCGGUAGAGGAGAGUGGAAUUCCCGGUGUAGCGGUGAAAUGCGCAGAUAUCGGGAGGAACACCAGUAGCGAAGGCGGCUCUCUGGGCCGGCACCGACGCUGAGGAGCGAAAGCUAGGGGAGCAAACAGGAUUAGAUACCCUGGUAGUCCUAGCCGUAAACGAUGGGUACUAGGUGUGGCGGAUUCAUUGACAUCUGCCGUGCCGAAGCUAACGCAUUAAGUACCCCGCCUGGGGAGUACGG